rfam:Human immunodeficiency virus type 1, complete genome.
GGGCUCGGCUUAGCGGAGUGCACCUGCUAAGAGGCGAGAG